UACGUAGGUGACAAGCGUUGUCCGGAUUUACUGGGCGUAAAGAGCGCGCAGGCGGUCGUUCAAGUCGAGUGUGAAAGCCCCCCGGCUCAACUGGGGAGGGUCAUUCGAUACUGAUCGACUCGAAGGCAGGAGAGGGUAGUGGAAUUCCCCGGUGUAGUGGUGAAAUGCGUAGAUAUCGGGAGAACACCAGUGGCGAAGGCGACUACCUGGCCUGUUCUUGACGCUGAGGCGCGAAAGCUAGGGGAGCAAACGGG
rnacentral:rRNA from 1 species